GGAGUCAACGUGGGCCAGCAUCCUUCUGGAACGCAUUAGACACCUUGUAGAGUCCAUGCCCCGACGAAUUGAAGCUGUUUUGAGGGCAACAGGGCGGGGUACAACUCAAUAUUAGGAAGGUGUUUUUAAUGUUUUGCACGCGGUGUACAAUUGUUUGACUAUAAUUGAUUUAAAUGAAAUGAGCCAAAAAGAAACAAAAUCAGUGUUUGUGCAAACCACAAUAUGGAGCAAAUGGAUCCUUUGCCAUUUUCUUGUGUAAGUAGCACUUGAAUCGUUGUGUACAAGGAAUGACAUUUGUGGUUAUGAUGAUGUUAGACAGUUCUACUAAUCUCUGGUCCUCAAUAGUACAAUAUGACACAGGUUGUGUCAUAUUCUGCCACCGCAGCCCAAAGGACCCACUGGGCACACACUGGUUGAAUCAACGUUGUUUCCAUGUCAUUUCAAUGAAAUUACGCUGAACCAACAUGGAAUAGACGUUGAAUUGCCCAGUGGGGAAGUUAUCAGAGGGAUACUAGCUUAACUAAUAUGGCAGAAGGUAGAGCUGUUGGGCUCUGCGGGGCAUGUGAGGACAUGAAAAAGGCACCCAUGAUUCAACAAAAUGUGGUAGAGUCUGGGGAAAUGACCGUUUUUAGCAACAAACAUCAAACCACAGACAGACAGCUCCCUGUUUUCAUCUGCAGCACGCCACCAAGCCCAUCGUACAGGAAACUGUUUCCCUGACUGGUACACUGGCACGAAAGGACAUUUGCAUGAGACAGAAAACAAAGAGAUGACUAAUAGAGAGAGAGAGAGGGAGAUGUAGUGAUGCAAAGUAAAGGAGUGAUGGACAUUUCAGAAGCUAGACCGAGAAAUCGUUGAUCCAUUUCUGCAGAGAACCCGCCUGAAUAGAUGCACAACGUUCAGUUCAACAUGUUUUGAACAUGUCCGUCCCUGAAGUGUUCUGUGCUCUACGAUGGCGACACCUGCUCCUGUCCCCGAGCUGCCACGGGCUACUCUGAAGGAGCACUUCACACACAUGGUUGGACAUUUCACUGGUACCUGACUCAGAACGUACCAGAUGGCCUUCAUCUCAUCCCCAAGGGCCAUCUGGAGAACGCCGACAGUCAAGACACCACGCGGAUACCAUGGUGAACUCCCACGGCCACGAUGGAGCUAUGACGAUCUCCCUGGAAAUCAUGAAGAUGAAUCAGAAGUGAAUGGCAGAUCACCAAGGCUGAGAUUGAUGGAGCAGCUGCCUCAAUUCCGGUUCCUGUCUCUCCUGUCUACCUCACCUGUACAUCUCAGACUGGCGGCCAUGUUGUGGCCCCUUCACACCCCGGCUGCUAUAUCGAUGGUCCAAUUCACUUCAACAUCAGAGUCAACUCCAUAGAUGAGCCUAUUGUUUAAUCUAAAGCAUCACCUGUCUGUCUCACCAUGUUUCAACCUGUUCCUGUAAAGACUGAGGACAACGGUAAGACAGAUAGAAUGGGGUGUUUGGAAGUCUUACUGUAGAUCUGUAUGGAGAAGGUUGUUCGGGCAGUGGUAAGAACAGGGAAACGCUUUGGAACUGAAGUUGAUUUUGGUAUGAGGAACCACAAGAUUGCAACGUUGUCCAGUAACCUGUAUUUAGAGAGCGCACGAUCAAGCAGCCCUUGUCGUGGCAAUUUCCUGUAUUACCAAAUGAGGAGAGUUACAAACCACACACCAGUCAGAGUUAUACUUAAACUUCAUCUUUAAUAAUAUGAGCUUUACCAUAGCCCUUUUGAUUCUCAGAUCAAUUAUGUGUCAAUAAUGAAUUCUGAGAGUGCCUACAGAAGAGUAGAAAGAUCUUCUAUAGCCAAGAUACACCCCUCUCAACUUACAUGACGAACCACAGAUCUUAGG